rnacentral:rRNA from 1 species
AGUGAACGCUGGCGGUAGGCCUAACACAUGCAAGUCGAACGGCAGCACAGUAAGAGCUUGCUCUUACGGGUGGCGAGUGGCGGACGGGUGAGGACUACAUCGGAAUCUACUUUUUCGUGGGGGAUAACGUAGGGAAACUUACGCUAAUACCGCAUACGACCUACGGGUGAAAGCAGGGGAUCUUCGGACCUUGCGCGAUUGAAUGAGCCGAUGUCGGAUUAGCUAGUUGGCGGGGUAAAUGCCCACCAAGGCGACGAUCCGUAGCUGGUCUGAGAGGAUGAUCAGCCACACUGGAACUGAGACACGGUCCAGACUCCUACGGGAGGCAGCAGUGGGGAAUAUUGGACAAUGGGCGCAAGCCUGAUCCAGCCAUACCGCGUGGGUGAAGAAGGCCUUCGGGUUGUAAAGCCCUUUUGUUGGGAAAGAAAAGCAGCAGGUUAAUACCCCGCUGUUCUGACGGUACCCAAAGAAUAAGCACCGGCUAACUUCGUG